UGCAGGACCAGAAGUAAUUAUACUAAA
rnacentral:piRNA from 1 species